rnacentral:rRNA from 1 species
UAACCUGCCUGUAAGACUGGGAUAACUCCGGGAAACCGGGGCUAAUACCGGAUGGUUGUUUGAACCGCAUGGUUCAAACAUAAAAGGUGGCUUCGGCUACCACUUACAGAUGGACCCGCGGCGCAUUAGCUAGUUGGUGAGGUAACGGCUCACCAAGGCAACGAUGCGUAGCCGACCUGAGAGGGUGAUCGGCCACACUGGGACUGAGACACGGCCCAGACUCCUACGGGAGGCAGCAGUAGGGAAUCUUCCGCAAUGGACGAAAGUCUGACGGAGCAACGCCGCGUGAGUGAUGAAGGUUUUCGGAUCGUAAAGCUCUGUUGUUAGGGAAGAACAAGUACCGUUCGAAUAGGGCGGUACCUUGACGGUACCUAACCAGAAAGCCACGGCUAACUACGUGCCAGCAGCCGCGGUAAUACGUAGGUGGCAAGCGUUGUCCGGAAUUAUUGGGCGUAAAGGGCUCGCAGGCGGUUUCUUAAGUCUGAUGUGAAAGCCCCCGGCUCAACCGGGGAGGGUCAUUGGAAACUGGGGAACU